rnacentral:rRNA from 1 species
GAUUAAGCCCCCCCCCCCAACCCCAUCUGAUCUCGGAAGCUAAGCAGGGUCGGGCCUGGUUAGUACUUGCAUGGAAGACCGCCUGGGAAUACCGGGUGCUGUAGGCA